rnacentral:rRNA from 1 species
CAGCAGCCGCGGGAAUACGAAGGGUGCAAGCGUUAAUCGGAAUUACUGGGCGUAAAGCGUGCGUAGGCGGUGAGUUAAGUCUGCUGUGAAAUCCCCGGGCUCAACCUGGGAACUGCAUCUGUGACUGCAUCGCUGGAGUGCGGCAGAGGGGGAUGGAAUUCCGCGUGUAGCAGUGAAAUGCGUAGAUAUGCGGAGGAACACCGAUGGCGAAGGCAAUCCCCUGGGCCUGCACUGACGCUCAUGCACGAAAGCGUGGGGAGCAAACAGGAUUAGAUACCCGCGUAGUCCCUGUCUCUUAUAC